GGCGGAGCAACGGAGUGCAGAAGACUUUACAGCAUUUGUUGAUUCUCUCAGGAGUACCAUCGAAAGAACCGCUUCCGUUUAUCACGCAUAUGAUCAUGAACGAUUAGAAAUCUGUGCUAGGAAGCUUGAAGAACACAUAGGAAUGGUUAUCGCGAUAUCUCUGUCCCAAAAUUCCUCUCCAGACCUGUUUGAGGUGUUAGAGCUGUGUUAUUAAGAAGGUCGUCUGAUAUUUUAAAUGCAUCAAGCUUUCGUCCAAAGGAGAAAAAUCCGUUGGCAUUAUCUGCAAGUUCAGGAGGAAGACCGAGGUACAUAAUUACAAGGUAAAUGAUCGAGCAACUGCGUAAGACUGGUAUGAACUGGAGAAUUAAUAGCAACAUGCCUUGGAAUCUCCGACCAAACACUACACACAAAAAGGAUCGAGUUUGGAGUAAGAAACAGUUUCACAGAUAUUACGGGUGAAGAAUUAGACGCGCAGCGACAGCAGACUCUCAAUUUAACACCCUAUAGCGGGGAAACCCAUGUUAGGGGCAGUCUCAAAGUGGUUAAAAAAUUGCACUGAACACAAAGAGAGGAAGAAAAUUUGAUUCAUGAUUUGUCUGGAGGUUGAAAAUGAAAGUCAUGACACUUUUUAGCAGCUGUCACAGGUCUAAAAUGCGAGGAACUUGCAGAACUUGCAUUGUGAUGGAGGCUCGAGCUUGGAUUACGUUGUCUACUAUGCGAGCGUCCAGAAACACGAGAUACUUCAGCAGUAAUAUUUGAUUGAGUUGGCUGUCAUUUGUUUUGAUAAUACUCGUACUUCCUCAGGAAAUUGACGCAGUUGCUGUUCUGAUUGCUGCGCCAUUUGCCCGACUCCGGCAGCGAACGAGGACGCCUCGAGGAUGAGGGAAUUUCCCGCCAAAAUACACUCCGCUGCGUAGCUGUUGCUCACCGGCUCAGAAAUACCAGUCGAUAAAUCCGCAUAGUGAUUUCUCUUUCUCAACAGUCAAUAUUUAUUUCUCGGUAUAUUGCUACGUCAGUCUUUUUCUCAAUUAAUGUUUUUUCAUUCUCGAUGGGUAAUUUAAAAUCUCGCAUGACAGUUUUUAUUCCCGCACAAUGAUUUCUAUUUCUCAUGCAGUAAUUUCCCAAUCUCACAUAUCGAUCACUGAAACUCGAUAGGUAAUUUUGGACUCAACCCACUUUUGUCGUGUAUGGCUUGCCAUAUGAAAUGGUGUCAUGUUGUGGGUCACGUCUAACAUCUUUUCGGUUCUGUGAAGACGGCUCUUAAAAAUGUUUUUCAAAAUCAUGGAAACGUUUAAACUUCGAAUAAGAAAAAACCGCGCCGUUCACCUCGAGAUUUUAACUCUGAGUGCACCUUCAGCUAAAACUCGGGAUUCCAAUCCAACCGUGACGUGGGACUUGCCCUCGCAUGCUAACAGUAAAUGGAUUAUACUGCACAUCAAGUGUACUUAGCAAUAAUGCUGAGAGAG